GGGCGAUUAGCUCAGCUGGUUAGAGCACCAGUAUCACAAACUGGGGGUCGCAGGUUCGAGUCCCGCAUCGCCCA
rnacentral:tRNA from 1 species